rnacentral:tRNA from 1 species
UCCAGGGUAGCCGAGAGGACAAGGCACCUGCCCGGUGAGCAGAAGGGUGUGGGUUCGAUUCCCGCCCCUGGAC